rnacentral:snRNA from 1 species
GUACUUACCUGGACGGGGUCAAUGGGUAAUCAACAAGGCUCAUGGCCUAGGUUGGUGACUUCCAUUGCACUUUGGAGGGGUACCUGCCUAAGGUCGGCCCAAGUGGUCGAGCCUACGUCAUAAUUUGUGCUAGUGGGAGCCUGCGUUCGCGCGGCCCCUGC